rnacentral:lncRNA from 1 species
CCUCUACUGAUAAAACAAGAGGGGAUAUUGAUAAAGCACCUGGGAGAAGACAGCAGUUUUCUUUCUGUUGCUACCCUGCUGCAGCUCUGACUUUAAAUGCAGCAGGUGCACAUGUCAGCAUGGUGUCCUCCCUUUACCCUGAAGGAAACCAUAAAGGAAAUUUAGGUGGGGGUGGUGAUGCAACUGUCUGUCAAUUGCUGCUAAUCCACUAGAGGCCAUUGUGACACAGAGUAAAGGGUGCUUGGCAGAGCAUUGCACUCCAGUGCUGCUCGGGCUGUCCUCUCUGCUCAGCUCACAGUGAUGAGUCGAGGAGUUUAUUUAGUGGCUGUUCAAGGAGUAGCAGAGAAGUGAUUCCUCUCUGUUGGGAUGUUAGGAAAUUUCCUAUUAUUGUGGAUGAAAUUCUGCUGGGCAGGAGCAUUUGAUUUGUGCAUGUAGAUCAUGUUCCAGCAACAUGGAUUGUAUCUUACUGUGGCGUUUUGGACACAACAUGUUGUACUGGACAGUUAUUUGAAAGCUAGAAAUACUCCUGACAAUUUCUUUUUUGUUUGCAGUGUUUUAAAAAAUGUGUCUGCCUAAGGACUGUUGAGGAAAUACUCUGAUGGCAGCUAGAAAUCAACUAGCUUGCACUCACUCAUCUGUGAAAAUUGAUGAAGAAAAAGGUGAUUUUUGAGGAUAUGUGUUUCUGCCAGGAUGGAUGGGCCACAGUUUCAAAAGGACUUAAAAAACAUAGCAACAACACAUUCCAACACUUCCUUCUGCUUAUGGGAAAGCACCCUGCCCUCCAAACCUAGCGCCUGGAAAAUGCGAAUUUCUCAGCCCACACUGAAGCCUUCUGGAGUAAAGCUAUUUGUGUGCAGUGAGGAGUGCAUCAUGCUUUGGCCAUAACUGGAAUGUGCACAGCUUUGUGAAGUUUCUCAGAAUGACUCAAAGAGUGGAAGCAAAUAAAAAACCACAGAGAUAUUUGUGUCUUCA